CUUGAAGGUCUUCUCCAACCUAGGUGAUUGUAGGUAUCUCAUGUCAGGAGGCUGCCCAAGUACAAGUAAAAAGGCACAUCUGGAAAAAAUGGCAAGGAAGUCUGUAUUUUAAGCUCACUGUCCGGGGACAAGGCACUCCACAGCACAGGUCAUGAGCACUCUUAGCCUUGGCUGUUGCCCACAGGACUUUUUCAAGAAGCUGCCCAAAAGCAACAAAUCGAUUUUAUUGUCCCGUUUCACUCUGUGAAGCUUCUGCCUCUCUGCCAUACCCCUACCCACACGUAAGCAUCCUUCAUCUGUCCUUCUGCUUGGCCCCUGCUGCUUCUCCAUUUGCAGGAGCAGUGUCCAAGCCCAGGAGCAGGCGAUGAGCAGACAUUGCAUUACUGCUGCUCGAGAUUUCUGCAUCGUCUUAGGUGGGCGGCCAUCCGGGGCGGACUGCGGUUUGGGAGAGGUGGUAGCCUCGGAGGCUGAGCAGAAGUCACAGCGACAAACAGGCGUCUGCUAGAAUCACACCCCGAUGGCUGCCCCUCCUCUACGGGGGCAGGAAAUGUUGCUGUACGCUGGGUACGUGCUGUACGUUUCAGUCCGAAAAAGCAACGCGGAGCCUCGCAGAUGCAGGGUGCUUUUGGAAAGGAAGACCCAGAGGCACGUGUCUGAGGAUGUGCCUUGCAGGAGCAGAUGCAAACAUGCAAAAAUUCCCCCUGGAGCUGUGCCAGCAAUUUACCCACAGAAGGGACUUGGAUCCUGUGCUUGGGAUUACCCCUGACCAUCUUUGCUGUGCUGGUGCACAACCAGUCUGCUUUGGACUUUUCCCUCCGGGGAUUUUGGAGAGGUUCCUCCUGCAAAUGCAUCUUCUUGGUGAGGGACCAGGCAGCCUGCGUUAGGCACAGCUUUCUGAUUGUCCUGUCCAGGACAAUCCUGCCUGGGAAGAAGGUCUCCAGCCACGCCGCUGAGUGGGACACUCUGAAGGGCUGGGACAAAGUCCGGUGUUGCUGAUGCAAUUGCAGCAGAACUGCAGGUUUUACGGAAGCAGCAGAUAUUUUAAAUUCUGAUAUUUUAAAUCUGAUAUUUUAAAUAAAAAUAAACAAAUCUGAAAUCUUAAA